UGCUGGGGGUGGGUGGCAUGGGAAGCACAUCCUGCCUGGGGCCCGUCCAGGCACAUUGCUGGGGCUUGAGCACUUCUGCCUGCCUCUGUCAUCUCCUGCUUGAUGCAGAAGAUGCUGGGCUGAAAUGGCUGCUGGAGCCCUACAUAUGGAUGGACCCCACAGAACCACACAACUUUGCAGGGGAUCACACUGGACUCCUGGCGCUUACCCAGAUUCUGCCUGGUUCCUGAAGGAAAAUAUCAUCUUGAGGCUGCAUGCACAGCUCCCUUCCCUGGACUCAUGUCAGCCUGAGCAAACUGUGUGUGUGUUAUCCCUGGUCUGCUGGAUUGAAGACUUCCUCCAUGCAGCCUGGAAGAGAAGAAACAAUUGUGAUAUGUCAUGGCCUGUGUAAAAUCAAAGAGAAAAAAGGAUACAUAACUCCAAACUUAAUUCCAGCUUCUGUUAAAUCAGAAUGGCCCCACUGUGUGAUUACUUGAUAUUUGACUACAGUGCUUUAACAUAACUUCCCAGUGUCAUCUGUUACAGUUCUAACACUCAGGCAAUUUUUGAACAAUAGUGAUGGGGUGUGAUUUGGCAGUGACAACCUCAGGAAGCCAUAUAUUUCCCCUUGACACAGUAUUAUCUAAUAUACUAGCUAUCUCAGGUUACAGCAGCUCUGAAACCCAACAGAG
rnacentral:lncRNA from 1 species